GAUGAACGCUGACAGAAUGCUUAACACAUGCAAGUCUUUGGCGAAGCUGUGCUUGCACAGCCUAGCCAAGGCGGACGGGUGAGUAACGCGUAAGGAACUUGCCCUGCAGUCAGGGAUAACAGACGGAAACGACUGAUAAGACCUGGUAAAGUCAGGCGGACUCAUGUCCAGCCUGAUGAAAAGAGAUGCUGCAGGAGAGCCUUGCGUCCUAUUAGCUUGUUGGUGGGGUAACGGCCCACCAAGGCGAUGAUAGGUAGCCGGCCUGAGAGGGUGGACGGCCACAAGGGGACUGAGAUACGGCCCUUACGCCUACAGGAGGCAGCAGUGGGGAAUAUUGGACAAUGGGGGCAACCCUGAUCCAGCAAUUCUGUGUGCACGAUGAAGGUUUUCGGAUUGUAAAGUGCUUUCAGCAGGGAAGAAAAAAAUGACGGUACCUGCAGAAGAGGCGACGGCUAAAUACGUG
rnacentral:rRNA from 1 species